AAAUUAGAUUUGGUUUUUGGGAAAAAAUUUUAGUUUUUUUAUAAAAUACAUAAAAAAAAAUAAUAGAAAAUUUAAUUCAUUUAAUAACAAUAAUUUAUUGAGAACUAAUAUUAAUUUCUAGCUAAAUUUGUGCCAGCAGCAGCGGUUAAACAAAUAGAAUUAUUCUCUUUUUAAUAAAAUUUAAAAUAUUUUUUUUACUAAGUAAACAAAAUUAAAGGUAAAAUUUUUUUUUAUUUUCAAAUAAAUUUAAAAUUUAAAUUCUAAAUGUAAACUAGGAUUAGAUACCCUAUUAUUAAGGAGCUUAACAUUGUAAGUAUAUAAAUAUUAUGAAAGCAAAAAAUUAUGGCGGUAUUCUAAGCUUAUCAGAGGAAUUUGCUCUUUAAUGGAUAAAACACCACAAUCUUUCUUUAAUUAGUAUUUAAAACCAGUUUGUAUACCACUAUUAAAAUAAUAAUAUACAAUUAUUAUUACAAUGUACUAUUUAAAUAUUUAAAUUAAAUUAAGUCAAGGUGCAGCAAAAAUUAAAGUAUGAAGUGAAUUACAUUUCUUUUUAGAUAAAAAAAUGAAAAAAAAAUUAGGAUUUGAAAGUAAAAUUAAAAUAGAAAGUUAAUUUGAAUUAAGCUCUAGAAUAUGUACAUAUCGCCCGUCACUCUUUUUUAAGAUAAGUCGUAACAAAGUUAAAAUACUGGAAAGUGUUUU
rnacentral:rRNA from 1 species